rnacentral:rRNA from 1 species
AUUGAACGCUGGCGGCAGGCCUAACACAUGCAAGUCGAGCGGAUGAAGGGAGCUUGCUCCUGGAUUCAGCGGCGGACGGGUGAGUAAUGCCUAGGAAUCUGCCUGGUAGUGGGGGAUAACGUCCGGAAACGGGCGCUAAUACCGCAUACGUCCUGAGGGAGAAAGUGGGGGAUCUUCGGACCUCACGCUAUCAGAUGAGCCUAGGUCGGAUUAGCUAGUUGGUGGGGUAAAGGCCUACCAAGGCGACGAUCCGUAACUGGUCUGAGAGGAUGAUCAGUCACACUGGAACUGAGACACGGUCCAGACUCCUACGGGAGGCAGCAGUGGGGAAUAUUGGACAAAGGGCGAAAGCCUGGUCCAGCCAUGCCGCGUGUGUGAAGAAGGUCUUCGGAUUGUAAAGCACUUUAAGUUGGGAGGAAGGGCAGUAAGUUAAUACCUUGCUGUUUUGACGUUACCAACAGAAUAAGCACCGGCUAACUUCGUG